rnacentral:rRNA from 1 species
GAUGAACGCUGGCGGCGUGCCUAAUACAUGCAAGUCGAGCGAACGGACGAGAAGCUUGCUUCUCUGAUGUUAGCGGCGGACGGGUGAGUAACACGUGGAUAACCUACCUAUAAGACUGGGAUAACUUCGGGAAACCGUAGCUAAUACCGGAUAAUAUUUUGAACCGCAUGGUUCAAAAGUGAAAGACGGUCUUGCUGUCACUUAUAGAUGGAUCCGCGCUGCAUUAGCUAGUUGGUAAGGUAACGGCUUACCAAGGCAACGAUGCAUAGCCGACCUGAGAGGGUGAUCGCCCACACUGGAACUGAGACACGGUCCUGACUCCUACGGGAGGCAGCAGUAGGGAAUCUUCCGCAAUGGGCGAAAGCCUGACGGAGCAACGCCGCGUGAGUGAUGAAGGUCUUCGGAUCGUAAAACUCUGUUAUUAGGGAAGAACAUAUGUGUAAGUAACUGUGCACAUCUUGACGGUACCUAAUCAGAAAGCCACGGCUAACUACGUG